UGGGGAAUCUUGGACAAUGGGCGUAAGCCUGAUCCAGCCAUGCCGCGUGAGUGAAGAAGGCCUUCGGGUUGUAAAGCUCUUUUGUCAGGGACGAUAAUGACGGUACCUGAAGAAUAAGCCCCGGCAAACUUCGUGCCAGCAGCCGCGGUAAUACGAAGGGGGCUAGCGUUGUUCGGAUUUACUGGGCGUAAAGCGCACGUAGGCGGAUAGUUAAGUGAGAGGUGAAAUCCCAGGGCUCAACCCUGGAACUGCCUUUCAUACUGGCUAUCUCGAGUUCGGAAGAGGUGAGUGGAAUUCCAAGUGUAGAGGUGAAAUUCGUAGAUAUUUGGAAGAACACCGGUGGCGAAGGCGGCUCACUGGUCCGAUACUGACGCUGAGGUGCGAAAGCGUGGGGAGCAAACAGG
rnacentral:rRNA from 1 species